rnacentral:rRNA from 1 species
CACGUAGGGUGCGAGCGUUGUCCGGAAUUAUUGGGCGUAAAGAGCUCGUAGGCGGUCUGUCACGUCGGCUGUGAAAACCCGAGGCUCAACCUCGGGCCUGCAGUCGAUACGGGCAAACUAGAGUACUGCAGGGGAGACUGGAAUUCCUGGUGUAGCGGUGAAAUGCGCAGAUAUCAGGAGGAACACCGGUGGCGAAGGCGGGUCUCUGGGCAGUAACUGACGCUGAGGAGCGAAAGUGUGGGGAGCGAACAGG